AUUGAACGCUGGCGGCAGGCCUAACACAUGCAAGUCGAACGGUAGCACAGAGGAGCUUGCUCCUUGGGUGACGAGUGGCGGACGGGUGAGUAAUGUCUGGGGAUCUGCCCGAUGGAGGGGGAUAACUACUGGAAACGGUAGCUAAUACCGCAUAACGUCGCAAGACCAAAGUGGGGGACCUUCGGGCCUCACACCAUCGGAUGAACCCAGAUGGGAUUAGCUAGUAGGUGGGGUAACGGCUCACCUAGGCGACGAUCCCUAGCUGGUCUGAGAGGAUGACCAGCCACACUGGAACUGAGACACGGUCCAGACUCCUACGGGAGGCAGCAGUGGGGAAUAUUGCACAAUGGGCGCAAGCCUGAUGCAGCCAUGCCGCGUGUAUGAAGAAGGCCUUCGGGUUGUAAAGUACUUUCAGCGGGGAGGAAGGGGUUGAGUUUAAUACGCUCAACCAUUGACGUUACCCGCAGAAGAAGCACCGGCUAACUCCGUGCCAGCAGCCGCGGUAAUACGGAGGGUGCAAGCGUUAAUCGGAAUUACUGGGCGUAAAGCGCACGCAGGCGGUCUGUCAAGUCGGAUGUGAAAUCCCCGGGCUUAACCUGGGAACUGCAUUCGAAACUGGCAGGCUGGAGUCUCGUAGAGGGGGGGUAGAAUUUCCAGGU
rnacentral:rRNA from 1 species